AGGCCUUCGUUCUCCAGGGCGGGACUGCGCCGGGAGCUUCAAGGAGUUCAACACGAACAACAUCCGUGAUACCUUCCGUCUCCUGCUCCAGAUGGGCAAUGUCCUCAUGUUCGGCGGCCAGGUUCCCGUCGUCACGUAGAUGGGACUGAUGGCUGGCCAGUUUGCCAAGCGAGGUCUGAUAACUUUGAAGAGAAGGAUGGGGUUAAGCUGCCCAGCUACAAGGAGACGACGUCAAUGGCGACGCGUUCGACCUGCAAGUUUGUAGCAGAGUUUUGUUGCGGUGCCUAUAGUCGUUGUCCUCUUUAAAUACCCCCUGUUGAAUUUCUUCCACAUAUCUCCUUAUCACGACAAGGCAAGUGAUAGGUUGUUGGUUUUAUAUACUAUUAUGUUGCUAUUACUAGGGCGAUGUUUAUCCAGUGAAUCUUAUGAAAGCUUCUCCAUGAAUCGAAUUCUUGAUACUCAUUGGGGUGCCAUGACUGAUAGUGAUGUAAGUUCUUGCAUGCUGAAAAUCAGUGGCAAGAGCCCUGAAGUGUACUUAAACACUAAAAUUAUUAAAAUUUGUUUGCAUUGAACUACAAUUGCAACUUUAAUACCCAUUUACUUUGUCGAUCCUUGUGAAUGAUUCCCAUGGAACUUUUCGGCGUCUCUUAUCCGACAUUUUUCUAUCUCGCUGUCUAAUGCGUUGGCGAGACUAAUUAGAUGCAUUAGUGAUUUUCUUUUGAAGCAUCACUACUAAUGUUUUGGAAGCAUGCCCACCAUGAUUUGUAAAAAUGACAUGUUGAAUGUGCUAUCUAUAUUAGUAAUGCAUCUUCUUAUUUCACCCAGAGUAAUUCUGUUUAGCUACACCUUUGCACAAAUAUUUUAGUGUUUCUUGCUUUCACCAGUUGAUUUGUUCUAUGAGUUACUGAGAGCUACUCUGUAUUUUGUUCCUAUUGAUGUACAGGUUAUACUGAUGAAACUUCGGUUAUCAAGGAUGUACCAUAUAUCUACUGAGUAAUGCUAAUAGUUUGCUCUUUGUUGUCGAAUACUUCUAAAUAUGGAUUGGUUGCUCCACUUCAUGUGACUCCAUGAGAGACAUAUUGUAUCUUGAAUGGCUUUCACCGCUGGGCAAAUCAAGAGAUGGAAGACCCAUGGCACUUGUGAUGUUAUCUGCUACUCAUUUGCGGGCCUUGCGGUUGUCGUUCUCAUGGCUCUGCCAUUCGCGUUUAUGCAGGCUGAGGUGGCGAGCCAUCAGUGUGAGUUUCAGGAAGAGAUGACAACACAAGUGAUCUUGAUUGGUAACAUGUUUGGAAUUGUUGUGCAUGCAUGGUACGAACAUGUGCAACACUAAAAAACCAAAACAAAAGUGUUUGAUGCAUUUCUUCUCCUGAAAAGGGAUAAGUAUCUGAGGUCAUAUCAGAUUGAGUGAUAGCAGAGGGUCUCAGGCCUGAUGAAUGAAUGUUGACGUGGGGACAGUUUUUGUGAUGUCCAGAUCAUCAUCCACUGAGGCACCGCAGAAGAUGGUCCAAGGCAAAGUUACGCAUCUUCCUGUAGUGUGGUCAUUGCCAUGUUGGAGACUACCAUUACUCUGCGAUGCAAUUUCAAGAAUUGAAAAGGUAGCAGAACAAGGCAGUGCUAUAGCAACUGCUGUGGAAGGGGUCGAUGGGGAAAUAGAUUUGCAGAUAGCCUUUUCUAGUUUCUCAAGGCCACCCAUGACAUAUUCUAUUCAGGCCUCUUUGAUUAACUAGCUGAUGUUAUAUUUUGGGUCCUUCAGGUUCUCAUAGAAAAUCUUCGAGAUCAUAUGUUCAAGCCUUCCUUGUUUGUCCACUAUCAUGAUUGAAAAUAGCAGGUAAAUUGGUACUGCCAAGAAUACAUAUGAUGCGAAAAUUUUGUAUGACUGAACCAUUUUAGUAUGAUUGAAUCUUAUUAUGUGGUACACUUAUAACUUGUCUCUAGAAGUGAGAAGGGGCCUAAUGAAUCUCUGUAAAAAAAAUUAAAUUAC